UACGUAGGGUGCGAGCGUUGUCCGGAAUUAUUGGGCGUAAAGAGCUUGUAGGCGGUUUGUGGCGUCUGCUGUGAAAAUCCGGGGCUCAACCCCGGACUUGCAGUGGGUACGGGCAGACUAGAGUGUGGUAGGGGAGACUGGAAUUCCUGGUGUAGCGGUGAAAUGCGCAGAUAUCAGGAGGAACACCGGUGGCGAAGGCGGCAUCCUGGACCGGCAUUGACGCUGAGGCGCGAAAGCCAGGGGAGCAAACGGG
rnacentral:rRNA from 1 species